AUCCAGCUAAAGACUCCAAAAUAGGACGAAACGCACGUCCUGGAU
rnacentral:hammerhead_ribozyme from 1 species